GAAAUGCGAUAAGUAAUGUGAAUUGCAGAAUUCAGUGAAUCAUCGAAUCUUUGAACGCACAUUGCGCCCGCCAGUAUUCUGGCGGGCAUGCCUGUCCGAGCGUCAUUUCGACCGCUCAAGCCCCGCUUGGUGUUGGGCCCCUACGUGCGCCGUAGGCCCCGAAUUCCAGUGGCGGGCUCGCCGCGAUCCCGAGCGUAGUAGCUUUUGCCUCGCUCAGGGCCCGCGGCGGGCGCCUGCCGUGAAAGCAAACACGCAAGGUUGACCUCGGAUCAGGUAGGAAUACCCGCUGAACUUAA
rnacentral:misc_RNA from 1 species